UCAAGAACUAUGCGCAUUAUAUACUCUGU
rnacentral:sRNA from 1 species